AAUGAACGCUGCCGGCAUGCCUAACACAUGCAAGUCGAACAAAGGCUUCGGCCUUAGGGGCGCACGGGUGCGUAACGCGUGGGGAUCUGCCCUUUGCUUCGGAAUAACAGUCAGAAAUGACUGCUACUACCGGAUGAUGUCGUAAGACCAAAGUUUUAUAGGCCAAGGAUGAACCCGCGUAGGAUUAGCUAGUUGGUGGGGUAACGGCCUACCAAGGCGACGAUCCUUAGCUGGUCUGUGAGGAGGAUCAGCCACACUGGGACUGAGACACGGCCCAGACUCCUACGGGAGGCAGCAGUGGGGAAUAUUGGACAAUGGGCGAAAGCCUGAUCCAGCAAUGCCGCGUGAGUGAUGAAGGCCUUCGGGUUGUAAAGCUCUUUUACCAGGGAUGAUAAUGACAGUAGCUGGAGAAUAAGCUCCGGCUAACUCCGUGCCAGCAGCCGCGGUAAUAC
rnacentral:rRNA from 1 species